CUGGAUAGUGUGGAUGAGGAGAGGAUGUUUCCACUAGUGGGAGAGUGUAGGGCCCGAGGCCAUAGUCUCAGUAUAAAUAGACGUACCUUUACAAAGGUGAGGAGGAAUUUCUUUAAUGUUUAGGAAGGAACUGCAG